rnacentral:rRNA from 1 species
AGUAACGCGUGGGUAACCUGCCUUAUACAGGGGGAUAACAGUCAGAAAUGGCUGCUAAUACCGCAUAAGCGCACGGGAUUGCAUGAUCCAGUGUGAAAAACUCCGGUGGUGUGAGAUGGACCCGCGUUGGAUUAGCCAGUUGGCAGGGUAACGGCCUACCAAAGCGACGAUCCAUAGCCGGCCUGAGAGGGUGGACGGCCACAUUGGGACUGAGACACGGCCCAG